GUGCGUGCCUGUAGUCCCAGCUACUUGGGAGGCUGAGGCAGGGGAAUCACUUGAACCCUGGAGGCGGAGGUUGCAGUGAGCAGAGAUUGUGCCACUGCACUCCAGCCUGGUGACAGAGCAAUACUCCAUCUUAAAAACAAAAAAGAAGGCAUUUAAUACCAUUGAACUGGAUGCUUAAAAAUGGCUAAGAUAGGAAAUUUUACAUUACAUGAUUUUACCACAGUUAAAAAAAGGUAAAUGAAAUUAAAUAUUGAUUGGGCUUGGGAAUAAAAAAUAAAGUAUUGUGUAACAACCAAUCCUCUAUAAAGACAGGAAGAUAAAAGGUAGGUACUACAGUCACAAACAUUACAGGGAAUAAAAAUGCUCUAAAAUAGAGUCAUUCAGGCUGGGUGCGGUGGCUCAUGCCUGUAGUCCCAGCACUUUGGGAGGUUGAGGCGGGUGGAUCACUUGAGGUUAGGAGUUCGAGACCAGCCUGGCCAACAUGGCAAAACUCCAUCCCUACUAAAAGUAUAAAAAUUAGCCAGGCAUGGUGCAGGCCCCUGUAAUCCCAGCUACUCAGGAGGCUGAGGCAGGAAAAUCGCUUGAACCCGGGAGGAAGAGGUUGCAAUGAGCCGGCACCGUGCCACUGCACUCCAGCCUGGAUGACAGAGUGAGAGUCUGUCUCAAAAAAAUAAAGAAAGAAUAAAAAAUAAAAUAGAGUCAUUCAAAUUCAAGACCUCUGCCUAAUGUCCUACAGAGAACCUCAAGCCCCAGCAGAAAAAAGACAAAGAAGAAUUCACAUGGUAGUCAUAAAAAUUAUGAUGUACCAACACAAUGUGAAUUAUGCCAUCAUAAAAAUUACACUUCAAGACUCUGUAAAGGAGAACGUUGCUGAUAUUAUGUUUUAAGGAAACGGCAUUACAAGGUAAAAUUGAAGUGUUUGCAUACAGACAAAGACUAGAAGGGAAAAGGCACAAAUGAAAUUAUUUCCUUUGCUAGAUUUGAUUUAUUGUUUUCAGCCUUAAAAUACAUGUUUAAAAGUGUUACAAUAUUUCUACGACAAGUAAGAAGAUAAUCAGAGUAUGAUAAAACAGAAUUCCCAAGCUUCUCCCUCUCAGAAAAGGAAUUGCUCCAAAAGCUCCAAGAUUAUAAUUCCUUAUAGAAGAAAUAUGCAUGUGGCAUUGGACCCAACUUAGAACUAAAAACCUAAAUGAAAAUUUUAAAAAAGAAAUAACUUAGGCCAAGCGCUGUGGCUCACGCUUAUAAUCCCAGCAUUUUGGGAGGCCGAGGCAGGCAGAUCACCUGAGAUCAGGAGUUUGAGACCAGCUGGAUCAACAUGGAGAAACCCCAUCUCUAUUAAAAAUAUAAAAUUAGCUGGGCAUGAUGGCACAUGCCUGUAAUCCCAGUUACUCAGGAGGCUGAGGCAGGAGAAUCGCUUGAACCCGCAAGGCAGAGGUUGCAGUGAGCCCAGAUCGCGCCAUUGCACUCCAGCCUGGGCAACAAGAGUGAAACUUUGUCUCAAAAAAAAAA
rnacentral:lncRNA from 1 species